ACUCGAGUGGCGAACGGGUGAGUAACACGUGGGUGAUCUGCCUUGCACUCUGGGAUAAGCUUGGGAAACUGAGUCUAAUACCGGAUAGGAACCGUCUUUAGUGUGGUGGUUGGAAAGUUUUUUCGGUGCAAGAUGAGCUCGCGGCCUAUCAGCUUGUUGGUGGGGUAAUGGCCUACCAAGGCGUCGACGGGUAGCCGGCCUGAGAGGGUGUACGGCCACAUUGGGACUGAGAUACGGCCCAG
rnacentral:rRNA from 1 species